UGUCUCUCUCUCCCCGUGUCUCUCUCUCCCAGGGGCUGCACUGUGUUCUGGACACCGCUCCCUCUGUCGUUGAGCGACUUCACAGAGCUCAGAUUUAUCCAAUCGUCGUCUUCCUCCGCUACAAAUCCCACAAGCACGUACGUGAAGUGAGGGAGGCAUCUGCUCCUCACCCCACGCGUGGCGGUGAGCGCGGUGAGCGUGGUGAGCGUGGUGAGCGAGUCAGCCUCAAGCUCUGCAAGGAGCAGUUCGACUGCGGUACUCGCACGGAGCACGAGUUCUCUCGCUUCUUCACAGCCGUGCUACACGGAGCGCCAGUCUCCGUGCUGUGCUCCCAGGUCGAUGACCUGGUCACCGAGGAGCAAAGGAAAGUGCUGUGGAUCCCAGCGUCAGCCUCCUGAACCACACAAUCACACGCUGAGUUUACACUACACACUACACUACACACACUGACUAGACACUACACACUACACUACACACACUACACUACACUAACUAGACACUACUCACUACACUAUACUCACUACA